AGAUGGCGACCGGCGCACGGGUGAGUAACACGUAUCCAACCUGCCGAUAACUCGGGGGUAGCCUUUCGAAAGAAAGAUUAAUACCCGAUGGCAUAAUAGAACCGCAUGGUUUGAUUAUUAAAGAAUUUCGGUUAUCGAUGGGGAUGCGUUCCAUUAGGCAGUUGGUGGGGUAACGGCCCACCAAACCUUCGAUGGAUAGGGGUUCUGAGAGGAAGGUCCCCCACAUUGGAACUGAGACACGGUCCAA
rnacentral:rRNA from 1 species